UGCCCCAAAGCAAAGCGAAUGGUCUGUUAGGGAGUCCAGAAUCCCGUGAACCGUGGUCACCAGUGGUCGCCACCACCGUUUGGUCUUCGACAGCUGCGUCCUGCGAGCGUUUCAGUCAGUUUCAGCCCUAUUCUGUGGUUUCAGUCACGCUGCAAGUAGGUUAGUGUCCCCUGUGCAGCACUCUGCAGUGUCCGAUAAGGUUUUCCGCUUUGGAUGCAAUGACAGUCCAGCUUCAGCGACAGAAGCGGUGACAUCAGUAGCAACGCAGGUUCCUCAGAGCGACGAUGGAGAGAGCGAACGAUGACCAUUGGGCGAUGGAACCAAAUCAGGACAUCAACGAGUCACUCCGAAGAUCGACUCCUCUUCAUCUUGAUCCAGUAGAGCCAUGGAUCUGCAACACAAGAGACGUUCAACUUCUUUUUUUGCAGAGGUACGUUUCAUUUAAUUGUAUCUCUUUCAAGAGUCCCUCGUAUAAUCCAACAUCUAGAGUUUUAGUAUAUGAAUUGCACCCCCUUAGAAAAGAUUUUCAAAAUCGUCCUCAUAGAAUCAGAUCACCCAGUAUUACCCAAUGAACUUGGUAAAUUCAUGCACCCCAUAAUAUAAUUCAUCAGACACGCCAAUAAGGCAAGACAUUAUUUAUUAUCACAUAACUUGGUACAAUUUAUUAUAAUUCAAACGUCUCAUAUACUUAUGUACUGAUUGUGAGUCAUAAAAUAAGUUAUACAUUGAGUUACAUGGUAUGUCAUACAUUAAGUCAUGUACUGCGUCAACUAAUUAUUUAUUUGUUAUUUAUGUUACAGGUUGCAGUUCCUCCAACGUCAUUGCCCGGACUCCCCCUGUUCACCAGGGGGAGUCCACCGUCCCCUGGGACAGCGCGGCCUCCCACCGCCCCCGGGGUCCCAGGGGACCCAGUCCCCGAGGACA
rnacentral:misc_RNA from 1 species